AACCAGCACCUCAAGUGGUCAGGAGGAUUAUUGGGCCUAAAGCAUCCGUAGCCGGCUCUGUAAGUUUUCGGUUAAAUCUAUAUGCUCAACGUAUGGGCUGCCGGGAAUACUGCAUAGCUAGGGAGUGGGAGAGGUAGACGGUACUCCGUAGGAAGGGGUAAAAUCCUUUGAUCUAUGGAUGACCACCUGUGGCGAAGGCGGUCUACCAGAACACGUCCGACGGUGAGGGAUGAAAGCUGGGGGAGCAAACCGG
rnacentral:rRNA from 1 species